rnacentral:rRNA from 1 species
AGUGAACGCUGGCGGUAGGCCUAACACAUGCAAGUCGAACGGCAGCACAGUAAGAUCUUGCUCUUACGGGUGGCGAGUGGCGGACGGGUGAGGAAUACAUCGGAAUCUACUUUUUCGUGGGGGAUAACGUAGGGAAACUUACGCUAAUACCGCAUACGACCUACGGGUGAAAGCAGGGGAUCUUCGGACCUUGCGCGAUUGAAUGAGCCGAUGUCGGAUUAGCUAGUUGGCGGGGUAAAGGCCCACCAAGGCGACGAUCCGUAGCUGGUCUGAGAGGAUGAUCAGCCACACUGGAACUGAGACACGGUCCAGACUCCUACGGGAGGCAGCAGUGGGGAAUAUUGGACAAUGGGCGCAAGCAUGAUCCAGCCAUACCGCGUGGGUGAAGAAGGACUUCGGGUUGUAAAGCCCUUUUGUUGGGAAAGAAAAGCAGCAGGUUAAUACCCCGCUGUUCUGACGGUACCCAAAGAAUAAGCACCGGCUAACUUCGUG